rnacentral:lncRNA from 1 species
GGGGAGCCCAGACUUGCCAAUGGGUAAGUGAGUCUAGUCAAGAUGCAGGAUUUCAGAAAACUCACUCAGAAGAGCAGGCUGAAGAUAAAGGAGGCAUCAUUCAGCAGCAAUAACCAACUCAUUUCCUUCUCUAGAAAGCGAGGAACCAAGAAUCUGGUCACAGGAUUUUACCAGCGCAAAGGAUUAAUCCACCCAUUUGAUGGCCAAGAAACCAACCAGUGAGAGCAGGAAGCAAGAACACUUCGAGACAGGAGGCAUGGCUGGGAGGUCUCAGGAAACUUAUAAUCAUGGCAGAAGGCAAAGAGGAAGCUGUAUCUUGUAAUAAGUUAAAUAUUUGCUGAAGGAAGAGAGAUGUAAUAGAAAAUAGAAGUGCCAGUGGUGAAACUUUAUUUUUUUUCUGAGGAAGCGUUGAAAUAAAUGAAGAUACACAGAGAAGAAAACAAUUCUUAACAAGUGCUAACUGUCAUCAAAUACUAUGUUUAAAUGAACUCCUACUGAAGAGAGAUUAGAUUUUUUUCCUGUAUUUUGUGAAGAAAACAAUUGAAAAUCAACAAGUAGGAGUAAGGAGUAGACUCUUCAGAUACAUGGAUUUCUAAUAGUAGAGUUGCUCCAGUUGGACUCACUCAAAUAAAAUGAGUUCCAAAUUCCCAGGGAUGUGCAAACAUUGAGUAAACAAUGAACUGCCAAGAUUAAGUAGUACAAGGCUCAUAGAUGAUUCCUGUUCCCAUAUUGCAUAUGUUUCCUUUGUAUUCAGAAAGACACUGGGCUUCCCCCAAACCAAAGGAGAAUAGUGCCCCUCCCACUCACAUCCAGAGGCGUACAUCUACUGCAUAGGAGUUGCUUUCAUUUUCCUCUUUAUAAAUUGUUUUGUCUUAUUCUAAAUUCACUAAAGAAUGAUGAUUUUCAGAAAUGUAACAAUAUCAGGUGGAAGCAUAGUUAUGUAGUAGUAUAAUACAAGUUAAGCUAAUUAAAAGAUAUCACUGAUAUAUAUCAAAAUAGAAACACUUGCAAAAAUGACAAUACUUAUUUUUGUUGGGGAUGUAGAGAAAAUAGUACUCUAAAAACUUCUAGAGUGAAUAUGCAUUGUUGUAUCUUUAAUUCUUAAGCUAUCAUAAAGAGGGUAUUAAAAUUUAAUGUACAUAUGCUUUUUGGUCAAGCAAUACUUUAUAUCUAGAACUGUAUGUUAUAGAAACCAAAGGGUUACUAGUAGAGACCUAUGAAUAAAUAAUUUUCUUGCAUUAGAUAUUAGAAAAAUACCCAAACAUGAUAAAGUAGUGAUUCAAAUUAUGGUACAUCUAUACCGUGGAUGUUCGUGAAUGAAACCGUUAGAUACAACCCGUCAUAAAACCAUCAGAUCUCAUGAGACUUAUUCAUUAUCAAGAGAACAGCAUGAGAAAAACCCAUCCCCGUGAUUCAGUUACCUCCUACCAAGUCCCUACCAUGACACAUGGGGAUUAUGGGAGCUCCAAUUCAAAAUGAGAUUGGACAAGUGACACAGCACAGCCAAACCAUAUCAGACAUCAAACUAUUUAUCUUCACAAAUGAUAAAAUUUUACACCUAGAAAACCUCAUAGUCUGCAAAAAGGCUCCUAGGCCUAAUAACUUCAGCAAAGUUUCAAAAUAUAAAAUCAAUGUACACAAAUCAGUAGCAUUUCUAUAUACCAAUAACAUCCAAGCUGACAGCAAAAUCAAAAAUGAAAUCCCAUUCACUAUAGCCACAUACAAAAAAUACCUAGGAAAUAUGGCUCACCAGGGAGAUGAAACAUCUCUAGAAUAAGAAUUAUAAAACACUGCUGAAAGAAAUCAGAGAUGGCAUACACAAAUGGAAAAACAUUCCAUGAUCUUGGAUAGAGAGAAUCAGUAUUUUUUAAAUGGCCAUACUGCCCAAAGCAAUUUCACAGAUUCAAUGCUAUUUCUAUCAAACUACCGAUUACAUUUUUCACAGAAUGAGAAUAAACUAUUUCAAAUGUCAUAUAGAACCAAAAAAAGCCCGAAUAGCUAAAGCAAUCCUAAGAAAAAAAAAAAAAAUGAAACAAAGAUGAAGGCCUCAUGAUGUCUAACUUUAAAAUAUGUUACAAGGCUACAGUAACCAAAACAGCAUGGUACUGGUACAAAAACAGACACAUAGACUAAUACAACAGGUUAGAGAUCCCAGAAAGAAAGCCAUAAACCUACAACCAUCUGAUCUUUGACAAAACUGACAAAAACAAGCAACAGGUAAAAGACUCCAUAUUCAACAAAUGAUGUUGGGAUAACUGGCUAAUCAUAUGCAGAAGAUUGAAGUUAAAUCCUUUCCUUUCACCAUAUACAAAAAUCAACUCAAGAUAGAUUAAAGACAUAAAUGGAAAAUCUCAAACUAUAAAAACUCUAAAAGGAAACCUAGGAAAUUUCACCUUGGACAGAGGCCCUGACAAAGAUUUUAUGACAAAGCUUUCAAAAGCGUUUGCAACAAAAACAAAAAUUGACAAAUGGGACCUAAUUAAACUAAAGAGCUUCUGCACAACAACAAAAAUUAUCAACUGAGUAAACAGAUAAUCUACAGAAUAGGAGAAAAUAUUUGCAAAUUUUGCAUCCCAUAAAGGUCUAAUAUGAAGAAUCUAUAAAGAACUUCAAUAAAUUCACAAACAAGGAGUAAACAACCCUAUCCAAAAAUGUGCAAAGAACAUGAACAGACACUUCUCAAAGGAAGACAUAUGUGGCCAAAAAGCGUAUGAAAAAAAAUGCUUAUCGUCACAAAUAUUUAGAGAAAUGCAAGUCAAAACCAUAGUGAGAUACCAUCUCAUACCAGUCAGAAUGGCUAUUACUGAAAAGUCAAAAAUGACAUUCUGGUGAGGCUCUGCAGAAAAGGGAAAACUGAUACACUGCUAGUAGGAAUGUACAUUAAUUUAGCCACAGUGUAAAGAAGUUUGGAGAUCUUUCAAAGAACUUCCUCAAAGAACACACAUAUAUUCAUUGUGACACUAUUCACAGUAGCAAAGGCAUGGAAUCAACCUUGAUGCUGAUCAAUGGUGGACUGGAUAAGGAAAAUGUGGUACUUUUACACCAUGCAAUACUAUGCAGCCAUAAAAAAAGAACAAAAGCAUGUCCUUUGCAGGGACAUGGAUAGAGCCAGAGGCCAUUAUCCUAAGUCAAUUAACACAGGAACAGAAAACCAAAUACUGCAUGUUCUCACUGCUAAGUAGAAGCUAAACACUGAGAACACUUGGACAAAAAGAAGGGAACAAUAGACGUCGGGCAUACUGGAGGGUGGAGGGUAGGAGGAGAGUGAGAACUGAAAAACUACCUAUCUGAUACUAUGCUCAUUACCUGGGUGAUGAAAUAAUCUGUACACAAAACUCCCAUGACAUGCAGUUUACCCAUGUAGCAAACCUGCAUAUGUACUCCUUGAACCUAAAAUAAAAAUUAAAAAGAAAAAAAAAGCCA